AGGACUUUUAAUCUGAACUAUAAACUUAGAACUUUGAAUCACAUAUGACCUUUUAGUUUUAUGUCUCAACUGAAUCGGUUAGAAGUGCUUCGGGCUUAAUGCCGAGAUUUCACUCAUAUCCAGCAGAGAAACUAGUCUAGUGCUGCAACAAAGAAUGUUGAUUUGGGCUCCGAAUCGCUGAAGAAUCUUAGCACAUAAAAGUACUGCCGAAAACUGUGGAACUUGUCGGGACUGAUUGGAUUAAUUUUAGUUCUGAGUUUCUCGGUGCAAGCUUCAACUAAUUACCUUUCCGGGCGCUAUAUCUUUUUCUUAAUACACUCAAGUAUUUUCAUUAGAACUCUGUGUAUUUUUCUAAUUAAAGCCGUUUGCUUUUCGCAA